rnacentral:rRNA from 1 species
AACAGUGUCCUAUCGAUCCUUUAUGUUUGCCGAGAACCUCGGCCUAGAGGUGUCAGAAAAGUUACCACAGGGAUAACUGGCUUGUGGCUGCCAAGCGUCCAAAGCGACGUAGCUUUUUUGAUCCUUCGAUGUCGGCUCUUCUCAUCAUUCCGCCGCAGCAGACGGAAAGUGUCAGAUUGUUCACCUGUAAAAGAGGAACGUGAGCUGGGUUUAGACCGUCGUGAGACAGGUUAGUUUUACCCUCCUUUCAAAUUGAUUUCUUGAUACGAGACAGAGGUAGUACGAGAGGAACUGUCUGUCGCCGCAUUUGGUUCGUGCCUUCGUUGAACGACGAGUGGGCAGAUGCUACGCGGUCUUUUAUUUUGAUAAAUACUGAAUGCCUCUAAAGUAUGAAUCAUACGUAAAAAUGGAAGUCUAUAUUGCAUUUAUUUAUCCAGAUGUAUCAAUAACUUUGAGCGUACUAUUUAAUUAUUCAAAACUUUUAACCGUUUUUGAAUUUUGUAUUAUAUUUUUCGG